GAGCGGGUCAGUGCAGAGGCCUUUCAGUGGAUCUGGGUGAAGUCUUCACUAUGUAGCAGCUGGGUCUUUUGCCUUUGAAGCAGUACAGGAUUCCUCUGGGCUGCAGCCUUUUCUAGUUUUAUAUAACUCAAACAAUGAAACAAUCCCCAUUCCACACUCCACUGCCCACCCCACAGACUUCCCUCAUUAUUUAGUUUCCUCCUAUUCAUCCUGCAAGUAUCCUGACCUUCACAUACACAUCCUAACCCAGACACUCCCACCCUGUUAUGAAAGUUAGGUCUUUC